rnacentral:rRNA from 1 species
UACGAAGGGGGCUAGCGUUGCUCGGAAUUACUGGGCGUAAAGGGCGCGUAGGCGGAUACUUAAGUCGGGGGUGAAAGCCCGGGGCUCAACCUCGGAAUUGCCUUCGAUACUGGGUAUCUUGAGUUCGGGAGAGGUGAGUGGAAUGCCGAGUGUAGAGGUGAAAUUCGUAGAUAUUCGCAAGAACACCAGUGGCGAAGGCGGCUCACUGGCUCGAUACUGACGCUGAGGCACGAAAGCGUGGGGAGCAAACAGG